rnacentral:lncRNA from 1 species
CACAGACCUCGGUUUGAAUACUGGGUCCCCCACCCACUGACUCUCUUCUCCGGCCUCGGGUCCUCAGCUGUCAGUGGGAGCACGGUCACAGUGCCUCCUCGAGGAUUACUGGCAGCAUGUGGGGGAUCUGGGCGGGCAGGUCCCUGGGCCAGCCUGGCACAUGGCAGGAACCCAGCAGAGAGAGGGCAGCCAUUUCCACCAGGAUUGGCUAUUCUCCCAGGGGCCAUCACUUGUCCCCUCGUCUUAAGCUGUGGUGGCCGCCCCUCCUCUGUCCAUGGUCCUGCUUACCCCCCGGAGCCCGGGCUGCCUGCUCUCUCUCGGCUCAGCCCCAGAACACACCUUCUCUCCAUCUCCCUCGCUUGGGUGCCAACGGCCUUGCAGGUGGAAGCCGUGCGUUGCCCGGGGAAGAACAAUGCCAGGCGCUUGGCCGCCCGGCCCCCUUCCAGGGCCUCCAAACGGCAUGUGACGGAUGGCGGGCCUCUGGCCUUUGCUGAAUAUUCAGGGAAAUGAGCACAUCCAUCAUCUUCACGCGUUUUUCUGAAGUUGCUACUUGCAGGGGUGCCUCUCUGGUGCUCCCUGGCAGCCAGGGUUGGUGCCUCCUUUGAUGAACUGGGAGCUUGUUCCAAACGGAGGGAGAGAGAGUUGAAAAUUGCCGUGGAGCAGCGUGGAGGGAAAGAUGCGGGUACGCACGUGAAAGUCUCGACGGAUGUGAUAAUUAUUUACGGUUUCUGGCAUUGAGUGUUUUUGUUACCCAGUUAAAUAGACUCUAAAUACCACAUUAAAAUCUUGAAAAGUGCCUGGCAGAUUAAUAAAUCAUAUUAACGGC